rnacentral:rRNA from 1 species
UACAGAGGUCUCAAGCGUUGUUCGGAUUCAUUGGGCGUAAAGGGUGCGUAGGUGGCGCGCUAAGUCAGGUGUGAAAUCUCGGAGCUUAACUCCGAAACUGCAUUUGAUACUGGCGUGCUUGAGGACUGGAGAGGAGACUGGAAUUCACGGUGUAGCAGUGAAAUGCGUAGAGAUCGUGAGGAAGACCAGUGGCGAAGGCGGGUCUCUGGACAGUUCCUGACACUGAGGCACGAAGGCCAGGGGAGCAAACGGG